rnacentral:rRNA from 1 species
GAUGAACGCUGGCGGCGUGCUUAACACAUGCAAGUCGAACGAGAAAUGUAGACGGAAACCUUCGGGCGGAAGCCUUCAUUUCGAGUGGCGGACGGGCGAGUAACGCGUGGGUAACCUGCCUCAUACAGGGGGAUAACAGUUGGAAACGACUGUUAAUACCGCAUAAGACCACAGCAUCGCAUGAUGCGGGGGUAAAAACUCCGGUGGUAUGAGAUGGACCCGCGUUCGAUUAGCCAGUUGGCGGGGUAACGGCCCACCAAAGCGACGAUCGAUAGCCGAUCUGAGAGGAUGACCGGCCACAUUGGGACUGAGACACGGCCCAAACUCCUACGGGAGGCAGCAGUGGGGAAUAUUGCACAAUGGGGGAAACCCUGAUGCAGCGACGCCGCGUGAGUGAAGAAGUACUUCGGUAUGUAAAGCUCUAUCAGCAGGGAAGAAAAUGACGGUACCUGAGUAAGAAGCCCCGGCUAACUACGUG